rnacentral:rRNA from 1 species
UACGUAGGUGGCAAGCGUUAUCCGGAAUUAUUGGGCGUAAAGAGCGCGCAGGUGGUUAAUUAAGUCUGAUGUGAAAGCCCACGGCUUAACCGUGGAGGGUCAUUGGAAACUGGUUGACUUGAGUGCAGAAGAGGGAAGUGGUAUUCCAUGUGUAGCGGUGAAAUGCGUAGAGAUAUGGAGGAACACCAGUGGCGAAGGCGGCUUCCUGGUCUGCAACUGACACUGAGGCGCGAAAGCGUGGGGAGCAAACAGG